UGACAAAAAUCCAACACCAAUUCAUUACAAGAUCUUUCAGCAAGCUAGGAGUAGAGAAGAACUUUUGUAACUCAAUGAUUAACAUUUGAAAAACAAAAUGCCAACUGCAGCUAACGUACUUAAAUGGUGAGAAAUUGACACUUUCCUCUUAAGAUCAGGGACAAGGCAAGAAUGUCCUGUCUUAGGAAUCCUAGUUAACUAAGAUUAAAAAAAAAAAAGAGAGAGAGAGAGAAAGACAGACAGAGAGAAUAAAAGGGCUAACAUAGACCUUAUAUUUUCCAUAAAAACUAACUCAAAAAUAUCAUAGACCUAAAUGUAAAACCUAAAACUAUAAAACUUAGAAAAAAAGUCUAUGUGAACUUCAGUUUGGAAAUGAGUUUUAUAUACAAUAAUAAAAGCAUAAUUUGAGAAAAAAGGAGAUUUGGAUCUUGUUAAAAAUAAAAACAUCUCCCUAUGAAAAACACAAUUAAGAGAAUGAAAAACUAGCUACAGAUUGGGAGAUAAUAUUGCAAAACAUAUACAAGAUAAUGUACUUAUAUUUAAAAUAUACAAACAACUUUUAAAACUUAAUAAGAAAACA
rnacentral:lncRNA from 1 species